GGGUGCGUAACGCGUAUGUAACCUACCUAUAACAGGCGCAUAACACUGAGAAAUUGGUACUAAUUCCCCAUAAUAUUCGGAGAGGCAUCUCUCCGGGUUGAAAACUCCGGUGGUUAUAGAUGGACAUGCGUUGUAUUAGCUAGUUGGUGAGGUAACGGCUCACCAAGGCAACGAUACAUAGGGGGACUGAGAGGUUAACCCCCCACACUGGUACUGAGACACGGACCAGACUCCUACGGGAGGCAGCAGUGAGGAAUAUUGGUCAAUGGACGCAAGUCUGAACCAGCCAUGCCGCGUGCAGGAAGACGGCUCUAUGAGUUGUAAACUGCUUUUGUACGAGGGUAAACUCACCUACGUGUAGGUGACUGAAAGUAUCGUACGAAUAAGGAUCGGCUAACUCCGUGCCAGCAGCCGCGGUAAUACGGAGGAUUCAAGCGUUAUCCGGAUUUAUUGGGUUUAAAGGGUGCGUAGGCGGUUUGAUAAGUUAGAGGUGAAAUCCCGGGGCUUAACUCCGGAACUGCCUCUAAUACUGUUAGACUAGAGAGUAGUUGCGGUAGGCGGAAUGUAUGGUGUAGCGGUGAAAUGCUUAGAGAUCAUACAGAACACCGAUUGCGAAGGCAGCUUAC
rnacentral:rRNA from 1 species